AAGGUGAAAAGAACCCCUGGAGGGGAGUGAAAAAGAACCUGAAACCGUGUGCUUACAAGCUGUCACAGCACAAUAGUAGUGUAGUGGCGUACUUUUUGUAGAACGGACCUGCGAGUUACGUUAUCAAGCGAGGUUAAGGUGAGAAGCCGGAGCCGAAGCGAAAGCGAGUCUGAAGAGGGCGAAAGUUUGAUGACGUAGACCCGAAACCGGGUGAUCUACCCAUGAGCAGGAUGAAGCGUUAGUAAAAUAACGUGGAGGUCCGAACCAGGCAUCGUUGAAAAGAUGUUGGAUGACUUGUGGGUAGGGGUGAAAUUCCAAUCGAACCUGGAGAUAGCUGGUUCUCCUCGAAAUAGCUUUAGGGCUAGCCCCGACGUAAGUUUUACGGAGGUAGAGCACUGAAUGGACUAGGGGGCUUCACCGCCUACCGAAUCUUAUCAAACUUCGAAUGCCGUGAAAUAUAAGUUAGGAGUCAGACUGUGGGGGAUAAGCUUCAUAGUCAAAAGGGAAACAGCCCAGACCGCCAGCUAAGGUCCCAAAAUAAUGAUUAAGUGGAAAACGAUGUGAAAUCGCUUAGACAACCAGGAUGUUGGCUCAGAAGCAGCCACCAUUUAAAGAGUGCGUAAUAGCUCACUGGUCCAGGGGUUUUGCGCGGAAAAUGUAACGGGGCUCAAAUCAUUUACCGAAGCUGCGGAGCAUCGAGAGAUGUUGGUAGAGGAGCGUUCUUAACACGGAGAAGGCAUACCGGAAGGAGUGCUGGAGAGUUAAGAAGUGAGAAUGCAGGUAUAAGUAUGCGAAAAGGCAGGUGAGAAUCCUGCCCGCCGAAAAUCUAAGGAUUCCUGGGGAAGGCUCGUCCGCCCAGGGUAAGUCGGGACCUAAGGCGAGGCCGAAAGGCGUAGUCGAUGGAAAACUGGUAGAUAUUCCAGUACCACCUGAUAUUGAUUGAGAGAAGUAGUGACGCAGAAGGAUAGGCAGAGCGCCCAGUUGGUGAGGCGUUUAAGUAAGUAGGGUGAUUGGUAGGCAAAUCCGCCAAUCGUGAAGCCUGAGAUACGAAUACGAGGGAAAAAUAGUACCGAAGUCGCUGAUUCCCGGCUGCCAAGAAAAGCUGCUAUCGAGAUAAAGGGUGCCCGUACCGCAAACCGACACAGGUAGAUGGGGUGAGAAACCUAAGGCGCGCGGAAGAACUCUUGUUAAGGAACUCGGCAAAAUGAACCCGUAACUUCGGGAGAAGGGUUGCUUAUCGUGGUGAAAACCAUACGGAUGGAGCUAUGAUAAGUCGCAGAGAAAAGGUCCAGGCGACUGUUUAGCAAAAACACAGGUCAUUGCAAAAUCGGAAGAUGAAGUAUAAUGGCUGACGCCUGCCCGGUGCUGGAAGGUUAAGGGGAAGAGUGAGAGCUUUGAACCGAAGCCCCAGUAAACGGCGGCCGUAACUAUAACGGUCCUAAGGUAGCGAAAUUCCUUGUCGGGUAAGUUCCGACCCGCACGAAAGGCGUAACGAUCUGGACGCUGUCUCAACAAGGGACUCGGCGAAAUUGAAAUACCGGUAAAGAUGCCGGUUACCUGCGAUAGGACAGAAAGACCCCAUGGAGCUUUACUGUAGCCUGAUAUUGGGUUUUGGAUAUUGAUGUACAGGAUAGGUGGGAGACUGGGAAUCAUGAACGCCAGUUUGUGAGGAGUCGAUGUUGGGAUACCACCCUUCAAUAUCUGAAAUUCUAACAAUGUUCCGUGAAGCCGGAAUUUGGACAGUGUCAGGUGGGCAGUUUGACUGGGGCGGUCGCCUC
rnacentral:rRNA from 1 species